AUUGAACGCUGGCGGCAUGCUUUACACAUGCAAGUCGAACGGUAACAGGCCGCAAGGUGCUGACGAGUGGCGAACGGGUGAGUAAUGCAUCGGAACGCGCCCAGUCGUGGGGGAUAACGCAGCGAAAACUGCGCUAAUACCGCAUACGAUCUAUGGAUGAAAGCGGGGGACCGUAAGGCCUCGCGCGAUUGGAGCGGCCGAUGUCAGAUUAGGUAGUUGGUGGGGUAAAGGCUCACCGAGCCAACGAUCUGUAGCUGGUCUGAGAGGACGACCAGCCACACUGGGACUGAGACACGGCCCAGACUCCUACGGGAGGCAGCAGUGGGGAAUUUUGGACAAUGGGCGCAAGCCUGAUCCAGCAAUGCCGCGUGCAGGAAGAAGGCCUUCGGGUUGUAAGCUGCUUUUGUACGGAACGAAACGGCUCUGGUUAAUACCUGGGGCUAAUGACGGUACCGUAAGAAUAAGCACCGGCUAACUACGUGCCAGCCGCCGCAGUAACAC
rnacentral:rRNA from 1 species